UACGGAGGGUGCAAGCGUUAUCCGGAUUCACUGGGUUUAAAGGGUGCGUAGGUGGGCAGGUAAGUCAGUGGUGAAAUCUCCGGGCUUAACCUGGAAACUGCCAUUGAUACUAUCUGUCUUGAAUACCGUGGAGGUUAGCGGAAUAUGUCAUGUAGCGGUGAAAUGCUUAGAUAUGACAUAGAACACCAAUUGCGAAGGCAGCUGGCUACACGAAUAUUGACGCUGAGGCACGAAAGCGUGGGGAGCAAACAGG
rnacentral:rRNA from 1 species